GUUUAUUUACAGUGGCCAGAGUUUCUCUUAUUAUUCCAGAUUUGUUAGCAUAAUAGCAACAUUGCUCUCCUAGGGCUGCACAUAGCCCUCCCUCUUUCAUAAACCCAAGGUCAAGUCCUCGGCGGUUUUGAAGGACCAUCUCAGCCAGAGAAUCAACUUGUUUUUCCAAAUGAGACACUGACUCGAUACAUCCUGAAAAUUCUUAUUCUAUGAUGGAAGUCAGUGAACCAUCAACCAUUCUAUAUUUAAGGACAAGAAGAACAGAGUGGCACCCCAGAACCUGAUUUGUAGAGCAAAACUUUGCCACGUUUUCCUGAUGAUUUAACAAAGCUUGAUAUCACAAGUUUUUAAGAAAACUUACCACAUCUCCUACAAUGUGAAAGAGCUGAGAUCAGAAUAAGAAAAACAUUCUGAAGAGAGUUGAGACCAUCCCUGACACAAGUCACCUGGUGUGGACUCUGUUUUGCACCCUGGAAUAUUUUUUCUUCUUGGAGGGGAACCGGAUGUACAGCACGGAGAAGCAUGCCCUUUGGAAAUGUCAGUGAAUACAGUUGUGCUUCUCAGUAAAGGAACAAGUUCUUCUCUACCACUGGAUCAGAGGGUGUAAAGAAAACUUGUAAAGUAUACAAACUUAAGGCCAAAGUUAUGGCGGCAGAAAAAUUAAGAGAAGAGGAAAAAUAAUCUCAAAAGAAGAUAGAAAUGUAGGGUGAAAGAGCCUAAACCUCUUAGGAAUUUUCCACCUUGAUCAAAACAAAACUAAACAAGCAGGAGCUUCUGUAUUUUAUCUCAACAAGGAAACAGGGGAAAUUCUAAACACAAUAAACUUUAUCCCUAAGAAUUUCUUAUAUUUAUCUCCCUACUUGAAUCAGAAAAGCAUUUGAAGUUUCAAAGAUGGAUAUAAAGGUACCGGUUUUUAAGGUACUCAUUUUCAAAGUUUUAAUUUCUUGGACAUGAAUUUAGUGGACUCUGAAAUUUUUAUUUAUGCUUUCAUCUUUAUAAUUUCAAUUAAAUAAGGAUACUAUUUUAAUAUUAUGAAUUCAUGUGUGAAAAUGUUUAUUAUUCUCAUUCUCAUU
rnacentral:lncRNA from 1 species